rnacentral:rRNA from 1 species
UACAGAGGGGGCAAGCGUUGUUCGGAAUUACUGGGCGUAAAGGGCGCGUAGGCGGCCUGUUAAGUCGAACGUGAAAUCCCCGGGCUCAACCCGGGAACUGCGUCCGAUACUGGAUGGCUUGAGUUCGGGAGAGGGAUGCGGAAUUCCAGGUGUAGCGGUGAAAUGCGUAGAUAUCUGGAGGAACACCGGUGGCGAAGGCGGCAUCCUGGACCGAUACUGACGCUGAGGAGCGAAAGCCAGGGGAGCAAACGGG